UGGCCCAGCAAGUCCCGGGAGCUUGAAACCAUUCCUGGGCUGGUAGCAGGAAAGGCUGGAGGAGCCCACAGGGGCCCUCAGGUCAUUAGGGUCAGAGUGCCUGCAGGCACUCCAUUCAUUCAUUCAUUCAUUCAUUCAUUUGUUCAUUCAGUCUCUCACAUUCAUGGCCACCCACCUUGCACAGGCCCUGUGCUCAGAGGAGACAGGGAGGUGAUGGUACACAGGGUUGUCUCGUGCAAUUUGCUUACAGAGCUCAGCCCUGACCCAACUGAGAGUGGCAUGGGUACCAUCUAAAAGUCACGCUGUGCGUACCCAGGGUUAAGGGUGAUGGGCAGACCCUGGACUUGGGGCCCAAGCUCCCCUCCCCAGAUGGCCUGGACAAGGAAGGCCCUGACUGCUGCGUCCUCCAGUGUUGCUCCAUUCCCCACUCCCUGCCACCGUCCACACAUCCAGAGCCCCAGCUGGGGACAGCACUCUGGAAACUAGGGGUUCCCUCUGGCCCAGGAUUCCCUCCUCCAGGGCGGUCACCCAAGGGAUCAGGUAGAGCUGAGACUUUCUAAAGCCCCACCUGACUCCUAGCCACCACUCUGACAUGCCAGGCAUCCUCAAUACUGGCUGCUGGCCCUGAGGCCUGAUGACAUCACCACUGCCUGCUGCUGAGAGCCGUGGGCAAUGAUGGCCCCCAACCCUGGACAGAUCCAGCCCCACCUUCUCUGCUGAUGCCGACCAGGUCAUAGCCCCCCUGAAGACACCGAUGUUAUGAAAUGUACCUGUGAGCCCCCUCCCCAGCAGCAGGCACACCUGCGAAAUUCACUUUGGUCUAGGCUGAACAGGGUUGGCAGGGCAGGUGGACAAAGAGCUAGCAUCGGUAUAGGGCCUUCUAGAUCUUGCUGAAGCACGGGUCACUGUCUCCAUCUUACAGACAAGGAAACUGAGACCCAAGGUCCCGCGGCCAGGAAAUGGAGUCCACACACCUCUGAUGCCCCAGCUCCCUUCACCCACUGGAGGGCCUUCACGAUGCUGUGCAUGGUCUCUCAGGGCCUGUGAAUCUCUCCCCUAAGCCUGUGUGCUUUCCGCUGUCUACGUGUGAAAGGGAGGUAAAACUGGUUCAGGCCAGUAGACACGACCAAGGCAGGACUCUUCAGAAAGCCAGGCUCAAUGUCCCUUCCCUGAGGGCCAGAGAUAUCCGAAGACAGCCUUGGGUGGCAAAAGGCAUUCAGAAUCCCACACCAAGGAGGAGCCAUCAUGGCAAACCUAGGAGGGAGGGAAGGAGAGGGAGAGGGGGCUCAGGGGCAGAAUAGAAAACUUGGAGUCAUCUGGCCUCUUAAAUCCCCUCUCUCCACCCCUUGGACCUAAAACCUAAUCUUCAGCUCUGGGGGACUUGGGCGGAUAAGGUCUAGUUUUCCUCAAAAGGAGGCAGCGGUGGGCCAUUCAGUUCAUGGACGCUGGUGGACAUCUGGAUGUACAUCCCGGCUCCACCAUACACUGGGUGACCUUGGAGGUGGCGAUGGAGAUACAGAGAGGGGCAGCGACAUGCCUGAAGCCACACCGGAGCGGAAGCAGAGCCUGAAUGGGCUCUGUGCAGGGAAGAGGAACCAGGAGCGGCCAGGCAAGAUGGAGGACCUUCUAGCAAAUUCUGGUUCCAUUUGGAUCGUGGUGAGGGGCGGGCAAAAUAAAAUCCAAACUUCUUUUGUCUGCA